GGGUCUGUAGCUUAGUCAGGUAGAGCACCCGGCUCUUAACCGGGCGGUCGCGGGUUCGACCCCCGUCAGACCCGCCA
rnacentral:tRNA from 1 species